GUGAGGCGCCGUAGCGGCAAAGAUGGCGGCAGCGGAGUCGGGUGACAGCGAGGAGGAGGAUCUGGUGAGCUAUGGGUCCGCGCUGCAGCCCCUGCAGGAAGGUGAACGCAUUAAAAAGCCAGUUCCUCUCCAAGAGCAGACUGUUAAGGACGCAAAAGGACGAUACCAGCGUUUCCAUGGAGCGUUUACUGGUGGCUUCUCUGCCGGUUACUUUAACACUGUUGGCACAAAGGAAGGAUGGACUCCUUCAGCUUUUGUGUCAUCACGGCAGAAGAGAGCGGACAGAACUGUUCUUGGACCAGAAGACUUCAUGGAUGAAGAGGAUCUUAGUGAGUUUGGGAUAGCACCGAAAGAUAUUACAACCACAGAUGAUUUUGCCUCCAAAACUAAAGACAGAGUGAAAGAGAAAGCUAGGCAGAUCGCAGGGGUAGUUGCUAGCAUUCCGGGAACCACAGCAUUUGAUGAUUUAAUAGGACCAUCAAAAAUAACAGUUGGUGUUGAACUGUUACGAAAGAUGGGCUGGAAGGAAGGACAGGGAAUUGGACCUCGAAUCAAAAGAAAGCCACGCAGGCAGAAACCUGAUCCUGCAGUGAAAGUGUACGGCUGUGCGUUGCCACCUGGACCCUCUGAGGGUUCUGAGGAUGAAGAAGAUGAGUACCAGCCAGAGAAUGUGACAUUUGCACCAAAAGAUGUAAUGCCUGUAGAUCUGACUCCAAAAGAGAAUGUCCAUGGGCUUGGCUAUAAGGGUUUGGACCCUUCACAAGCUUUGUUUGGUGCAUCUGGAAGAGAACACCUCAAUCUUUUCGCCGGUAGUUCUGAAGACACAAGCAAUUUGCUUGGUGAUCUGAGCCACAGUAGAGGAAGGAAGCUGGGCAUAACGGGUCAGGCAUUUGGUGUAGGAGCUUUAGAGGAGGAAGAUGAUGAUAUAUAUGCAACCGAAGCACUGUCAAAAUACGACACAGUUCUGAAGGAUGAGGAACCUGGAGACGGCUUGUAUGGCUGGACAGCACCUAAGCAGUACAAGUCCAAAAAAAGGUCUGAAAGAGAAGUUAAAUACAUAGGCAAGAUCUUGGAUGGUUUUUCCUUGGCAUCGAAAUCAUCAAGUCCAAGCAAGACUUACCCGCCACCGGACCUGCCACGGAAUUACAGACCAGUCCAUUACUUUCGACCUGUGGUAGCAGCUGGGAGUCAAAGCCACCAUUUACAGAGGGCAUUAGAGGAGUCAACUGGAAGGCUGGAAAGUGAUGUGACACAACGAAGUAGGCAUACUUUGAAUGCCUCCCAGAGGAGGGAACAACUGGGAGAGACUAGUCUCAAAGGUCCAGCUCCUUCUGUUUUGGAAUAUCUCUCUGAGAAGGACAGGGAAAGACUCAAAGAAGUGAAGCAAGCUUCUGAACAACAAAUGAAAGCCAAAGUGUUGCCUCAGCAGGCACAAACCAGCAGGUUCCAGCCAGCAUCCCCAGAGAAUGCUGCUCACAAGUGGCAAAUGUUGAUGGGAGACCAGCUAGCAAAUGCUGGUUCCAGUGACUUCAAACCAUUUGCAAGAAAUCCAGAGAAACAAAAAAGAUAUGAAAGCUUUGUGAAAAGUCUUCAACAAGGAGAAAAAGCAGAGAAAUUGGACCAUUAUUCAGACCCAAGUAUGACAGAAUGGGAGCGAGGAAGAGAACAAGAGGAGUUCUUCCGUGCAGCAAUGCUCUACAAAUCCUCAAAUUCGACACUGUCAUCCAGGUUUACUCGAGCCAAAUACGAGGAUGAUGUUGACAAAGUUGAAGUUCCUCGGGACGAAGAGAAUGAUAUUGAUGAUAAGGAAACUGCUGUGAAGAUGAAGAUGUUUGGCAAACUCACAAGAGACACUUUUGAAUGGCAUCCUGAAAAGCUGUUGUGCAGAAGAUUUAAUGUUCCUGAUCCAUAUCCCGAUUCUUCCAUUGCUGGCUUACCAAAAGUGAAACGGGACAAAUAUUCUGUGUUUAAUUUCUUGACUCUGCCUGAGCCCUCCACGUCUGUAACUCAGGCAGUGAAUGAAAAAAGCCAGCAGAGCAACAGCCUCAACAAACCAAAGAAACCUUCAAGAUGGGAUAUGUCAGAUAAAGAGAAGGAAAAACAAGACUCUAUCAGUGAAUUCAUUAGUCUUGCUAGAUCAAAAGCGGAUGCUCAGCAGCAGCCACCGGUGGCAGCAACAGAAGAACAUGGAACUGGGCCAAGUGAGGUAACUAAUGAAGAUAAGAAUCAGGAAGAAGAAAGCAGGCCAUCCAUGGACUUAUUUAAGGCCAUCUUUGUGAGUUCCUCAGAUGAAAAAUCAUCUUCCUCUGAAGAAGAGAGUGAUGAAGAACAGCCACCAACUGCUUCAGUAACAGAUUCAGAACCCACCAAGCAGGCUGCUACACCAGACAUUUCUUCCUCCAGUGCAAAAGAGAAUGUGGCUGCAACGACCGAUCCUGGCGUUUCUUUGUUGCCUACUUCAAAACAGGAACCGGAUGCAGCAGAAGAAUUUGGACCAAAGUUGCCUCCAGCUUUUUCUUCUGGCCCUUCUUGGCAACAAGAACCAGUGGUGCCAACAAGUUUUCCUGGGCCUAGUAAGAGAGAAAAACAUAGGAAGAACAGAGAGAAACACAAGACUAAAAAAGAACACAAACACAAAAAGGAAAAGAAAAAGAAACAUAAGAAACAGAAAAACAAAGGAAAACAAAAGAAUAAAAAAUCUGAAAAAGACAGCAGCUCAGACUCUACAGAGAGCAGUGACAGUCUUAGUGACAUAGAUACCACAGGCCUGUCACCCAAAGAACUUCUGAGGAGGUUAAAACAACUUCAGUAUUGAAGAGGUAGCUUGCAUUCUUCAGUGCUGUGUGGCCUGAUCUCAAAUGUUUGGUCUCCUCCAUGAUGGUAGAUCAACCGUGUAUACUUUGCAGCACUGUAGAUACUGGAUUCAUAUUGAAUUGGUCUGAAAGUAAAUGUGCAUAUGUUUAUUUUGUGAUGCUGCACAUGUUCAAAAUGUAUGGAUGAUGGAAUGCUGAAAAGGCCCCUUUCUGGGCAGCAUAAUCAGAAGUACCGCAGGCUCUGUGUUAAUUAACUUGGAACAGGAUGUUUCAAUAAAUUGUCUGCCUGUACUUGGAGUUUUCACAUCUCCAAAUUGGAUGCAGCAUUUACUGUAGCCGAUCUGAACCAGUAGGCUGCCCUUUGGACACAAGUUACUCAGGCCAGUGUACCAAAAGAUUACUGCUGUAAUCUGCCUAGUGUGGUUACUGUGGGAAAGGUUUACAGCACUCUCUUGUUUCUUGCAGUACAUUUAAAAGCAAUCCUCAUCUUGUGGAGCUAUUUUAAUAGAAACUCUGAAAUAAUGCUGAACUGCUUUUGAGUGGUCAGGCUGUUAACCACCCACACAACUCUUGCCCAGUGCACAAGUGCAGGCCCCUUGGCCUUGCUCCGCCUUUUAGUGAACCCAGCCCUCAGAAGAAUCUGGAUUCUUCCCUUUCUCAUCAGAUCCUUGUGCUGGGUCAGCCCAGAGUGGUGUCAUUGAUGUGCUGGAGGCAUUCCAGAGCUGCACCCUGCUGCGGUGCAGUCUGAAGCAGUCCAUGGUAAAUGGUGGGCCCCAAGCCUACUGUGAGGCUGCCACUGCUGCUGAGGUGGCACACGGGGUAAAACAGCAGCAGGGAGCAGCAGUGGUGGGGAGCCCUUGGCCCAGGGACCAGAGGGUGGCUGGGGACAGCCAUGAAUCAAUGGCCCAGGGAGACCAUGAAGGGAGGGAAGCUGGGCCUAGGCAGGCCUCAAGGGCUUGCACCCAAAGGCAGAUAGGGGCUGCUGGAGAGUUGUCGGUCACCUUGGCGGUGGUAACCACCUGUGGCAGCUGGCUCUUAGCUCUGGUCACACAAAGGCCUGCUGGAAAGUCAUGGGUGCAAACUGCCAAGUGACUAAAAAGCCCACUGAAAGCCCUUGCAAAAGGGCUGUGAUGGAAACUCUCAUGGUCUUGGCUAAAACAUGUGGCACUGGAGUUUGAUGUGCUGCUGCCCUUUGGGCCAGGACCAAGAGACGAGUGUUUGAAAGUUCUUGGGUGCCUUGAGAUUUAAAGAUAAAUACUACGUUUCAUGAGAGGCAGAAGAAUUGGAAACCAAACCCCAACAAGCUGUCGUUCACCCAAGAAAAGUAAAAAUCCCCCUCUAUCAAUGCUUCUUUCUCAAGUGGAUUUGGUGUAUCUGCUCUGCACUGGUACCAAGGAGAGGAAGUAAACUCUUCCUAAGCAAAGGGGCCUUAACAGAGCCUCCUCCUCUUCCUGCUUCCACACUCCCCCCUGUGGACCAAGCCGUCGAAAAUAAGGCAAAACAUUCCUAGAUUGUGCUCUGUUCCUUUGCUGCUCCGAUUUAAAAUUCAGAGAGGACACAGUGAUACUGUGAGCUGCUGCCAUUUUUGCUUUGCAGACACAAAUACUUUCAAGCUCUUACAACAGAACAGUGAAGCUCUGGAUAUGUUAUGGAUGUAUCAACGACAAGUUAAAAACAUUGUCUUAAAGCUGCAAUCAAACAAGGCAUGUUAUACAGGCAUGGAGGCUGCCUGAGUCAUCAAGGGCUCUUCUGAAGAUGAACCAUAAACCUCCUGUUUCAUACUUUGAACACAGCUUUGACAUUAAAGGGUGACUCCUGUCAGCAUGUGUAGUGUGCACUGAAUCAGAGCUCUGGUUGUUAAUACUGAAAAA